rnacentral:rRNA from 1 species
AUGAAAAUGCCAGAAUCACAACGUACUGGUGGCACUCGUGGCAUCCCACUCCCCUGGCUUCAUGAUAACUUUCUUAAUAUUUCUAGCUUCGCUGAUUCUGAGACGAGGAAAAGACAUCUGUUUGCGUAUUUGUUGUGGCUCCUCGGGGUUAUGUUUCCAAAUUCACACGGGGACAUACUUCUCCCUGGUCUCAUCUACAUUGUGGAGAAGAUGGUAGAUGAACCUUUACCCGAGCAUCCAAAAUACAGCUUCAGUUCUGCCAUUCUAUCUCAUACAUAUAGAGGCUUCUGUGAUGCCACACAAAAAACUUCCUUCGCAAAAAAAGCUCUGUUACUUUGUGUCCCCUACGAGUUUCUACAGUUGUGGUCCUGGGAAUACCUCCCUGUAGGACGACCUCAUAUAAUAAAUCCCAUACACUCAUACGACUAUAGUGAGGGCAGCUGUGUAACUAUGGCCAACAGGUGGACAAGGGCACGGAAACAUUGGUCUCCAAGUAUUGCGAAAAAUUGUUACCCUAUAUACCACCAGCAGUUUGAGGCACUUGAUGAGUCUGUAGUCACAUGGAACCCAUGGACUCAGGAGCAUGUACAGAUGAUCUUUAAUAUACGACCCAUCACACCAGGCAUGUUGACCGAUAGUGCAUUCUGGCUGACUCGCUGCUACUUAUUGUUCCUGUGGUGUGUUGAGCCUUACAACCCAGAGCGUGUCAUGAGACAGUUCGGUCUGUAUCAGGAGAUUCCACCACCUUUUCCAAGAUGUACUGACGAGGAAACCCAUAAGCUAACCAAUAUGGGCCACGGUUGGAGUCUUUACGACUGGAGGGAGCGCAACAUUCAAUGGGUACAGAAGUGGGAAAAUGACGCGGUAGCAGAUAUAGUGUAUCAACUUAGACCGUACGAUGGAAGUACAGCUCAAGCGUACAAGUAG